UCGGUCCCUCCUGUUGCCAAAUAUUUUACGAGUUUUGUCUAUCCAGACGUCUCAAAAAUUCAGAAACGCUUGGACGAAAUCUAGGACAUCAUGUGAAAUGAUCAAAAGUCGUGACACGCAUCCACAUCCUCAUUAAACUGAAUUAAAAAGCACCAAUGGAAACCGACUUCACCUACGUUACAAAACGUCUGAAUUUUGCUCUUGAACUCAUAUUUUCAUUCCGAAAUGACAGAAUUUCGACGAUCUAUAUUGAAAUUAAUUGGGUUCCAAGUACGAAAAGUCGCGUCUUGUGAGAAGAGUGAGGACGAAUUAAUUUUUAGCACAUUUAGGGGGCCUGAUUCACAUACAAAUUGUUUAAUUAUAGCUCGGCUAAAAUUCAAGUGAGACAAUGUGGCUUAUCGACGAUUAAGUUUAUGAUGGGUUGAUAACAUUUUACGUUUAUUGUUCAGGUGGGUUGAGUGCGAUUUAUCAGACGAUUUACCUGAACAAAUGACACAAUUAUACGUGCAAAAUGAUACUACAUAGCUUUACUUAAAAUUAUAUUGAAUAAACAGAAAAUUCAUAAUCAGGCAUUUACUAAUUUAAAUUAUAAACAGCAACAUACUUGUGAACACACAUUUUCUUCAGUGGAAAAUUACUCCUCAAGAAAGUAAACAACUAUUCCGAUAGCACUCAAAGGUGAAAAAGUCGUCCCAAAAGCUUAAAACAUUCCAGAUUUAUUCUAUAUUUAAGACUUCUAAAUAAUAAGUGCAUUAAUAGACUAAUACAAUUUUUACCUUUUCAAGGUUGGCGUUUCUAUCACAUUUUAGCAAUAAUAGUGCCAAGACUACAAAACUUCUCAAUUUUUUUUCAAAAAUGCCAUUUUUUCAAAUUUCCAAUCACUAUAGUAAACCGUAGGAGUUAGAACAUUAGUUAUUAAAUACUAACAGGUGGGCUAAAAGUAGUCGGAAUAUUUUUAGUAUUACUUUCCAAUUUAUCACUUUACUACAUACUUUGGUUUAAAUUUGGACAUUAUCUAAAAUUAUCAAUAAUUUUGCUUUAUCCUGUUUUUCAUAUUUUAUUGAUUUUUCUUCCAAAAUAAACGUACAAUACGUAAAAGAUUAGUUAAGAAAUUUACUGCUGUAUUCUUACAUUGGCGAAAGCAUAUGGCGAAAGGUGGAUGCGGAAUUUUAAUUAAUAUCUUAAAAUGUAAAAGUGUAUCUUUGAAAAUAUUCUUUAUUUUGUUGAACACCGUAUUAUAUCGUUUCUAAGACAAAUUUAAAGUCAAAGAUAUAAUCAUACAGUGAAGAUUUUAUUAUCCUAAUUAUUGGCGUUUCUAUGAAACUGUUUGCAUUUGCAAUGCACUGACAUGGACUUUUUAAAACUGAAUAAAUAAUUUAUUUUUUGGCGUAAAGUUCAGCGGAAUAAACUCUUCACUAUGUAAUGCAGAAGAUCUAAGAACUUUAAUAAUGCAAUGAUAUGAUUUUUUUUUAAUUAAACAUAGGAUUUAUAGGAUUUAUUAUGUGAUGUUCAAUAAGAUAAAAACCUCAGUGUAUGAGUUCUGUUACUUUUAGCCCAUACGUUAUUGUAUGUAAAAAAAAUUAAAGAAAGAUUAGUUUUUCGCAACUAAAAACAAUAAUUACUAACUUAUUUGUCAAGUCCUAGCCUGUGUCAUGCUAGUUUCAUUCACAAGGUAUGUAAUAAUUAUCAAAGUUACCAGAAUAACACCCAAUACAAAUAUUUACUUCUUUUCAAACGUAUAAAUUAAACAACAAUAAACAACACUAUUGUCAAUAUCUGUUUUCGCAGUAAAUUGUAACUUUUCAUUUCAAAUUAUACUAAAGAAAAAAUGACACAUAAUUUAUUAUUGAAACCAGUAACAGUUAAAAUAAAUAAUAAAUUACCAGCUGUACACUAACAAAUUACGUGACCAUUCAUACCGUUUAAAGGUUUUACGUGAAAACAAUAAUUAUUAACUUAUGAUUGUGUUGUUUGUUAUACGAAAAAAUUUGUGUUCGACCAAAUUGACGGCCAAACGUUAAAAAGAGCCAAUAAAACUUCAACCACGCAAAUAAAUCAAAGCAAUCACAAUUUGGCUAGUGUUUAAUUUCUUUUUCUAUUUCAAGAUUUGUUUACUACGCGAAACAUUUUAAACCAAAUCACUUUUUUUCAGUAUCUCUUGAUUAACAUUGACGCAAAUUUUCUAAAAGGAUGCGAUUUGCAACAAUGACCUUUGCGAUUUAGCACACCAUUAUGAAAUGAAAAUCAACAAAUAUUCGAGUUAAAAAAUAUAUUUCACAGUAAGCAUACAGUUUUUAUCAUACAAUUAAGUAUAAAACAAACAUGAAUACAUGCUACAUUUAGUAAAAUCGUCCUUACAUAACGCGACAAAAGCGUGAUUUGGACAAGUGCACAAAUUUUACGUUAUCUAAGGCUGAUGACGCACUUGUUUCGGCGCAAAAUUUCAUUACCGCAAAACCAAUUACAACUCACCGAAAGCUCCAUAAUAACAAAACCUAGCACUUCACGACUAACACGACGUUUCAAAUAAAAUGUUUC